rnacentral:rRNA from 1 species
AACGAACGCUGGCGGCAUGCCUAACACAUGCAAGUCGAACGAAGCCUUCGGGCUUAGUGGCGCACGGGUGCGUAACGCGUGGGAAUCUGCCCUUGGGUUCGGAAUAACAGUUAGAAAUGACUGCUACUACCGGAUGAUGUCUUCGGACCAAAGACUUAUCGACCAAGGAUGAGCCCGCGUAGGAUUAGGUAGUUGGUGGGGUAAUGGCCCACCAAGCCGACGAUCCUUAGCUGGUCUGAGAGGAUGAUCAGCCACACUGGGACUGAGACACGGCCCAGACUCCUACGGGAGGCAGCAGUGGGGAAUAUUGGACAAUGGGCGAAAGCCUGAUCCAGCAAUGCCGCGUGAGUGAUGAAGGCCUUAGGGUUGUAAAGCUCUUUUACCAGGGAUGAUAAUGACAGUACCUGGAGAAUAAGCUCCGGCUAACUCCGUGCCAGCCGCCGCAGUAA